GCCCCCAUGGUCUAGUGGUCAGGAUGCCGGGUUCUCAGCCCGAAGGCCGGGGUUCGACUCCCCGUGGGGGUACCA
rnacentral:tRNA from 1 species